AUGAACGUCGACGCAGCUAUCUUUUCAAACCUGCACAAACUGGGAAUUGGCAUCCUGAUUCGGAACCACAAAGGCGAAUGCUUGGUCGCUUGCACUGAGCCACUUAAAGGGAUGGUACAGCCAGAACUUGCUGAAAGCUGGGCGCUCCGUCAUGCCGUGAUUCUUGCCCGUGAUGAAAGGCUGACAUCUAUCAUUUUCGCUUCAGACUGCCUCUCCUUAGUACAAAGAAUGAACUCUUCAUCCAUGGACAGGUCUCAAGUGGGUGUAGUGGUGUCAGAUAUUAAGCGUUUGGUUGCUUGUUUUUCUUUAGUUUCCUUCUGCCAUGUCAAGCGGUCAUUGAAUGCUGCUACUCAUAUACUAGCUAGGUCCUGUGAGUUUGCCAGUUCAAAAGUCGUGUACUAUUCUACUCCAGAGUGUAUCAGACAAACUCUAUGUACUGAUGUAUACUAA
rnacentral:rRNA from 1 species